rnacentral:piRNA from 1 species
UGAACUCAAUGGCUAAGUUGUGCAAUAC